rnacentral:rRNA from 1 species
AUUGAACGCUGGCGGCAUGCUUUACACAUGCAAGUCGAACGGUAACAGGUUAAGCUGACGAGUGGCGAACGGGUGAGUAAUGCAUCGGAACGUGCCCGAUCGUGGGGGAUAACGCAGCGAAAGCUGCGCUAAUACCGCAUACGAUCUGAGGAUGAAAGCGGGGGACCGUAAGGCCUCGCGCGAUCGGAGCGGCCGAUGUCAGAUUAGGUAGUUGGUGGGGUAAAGGCCCACCAAGCCGACGAUCUGUAGCUGGUCUGAGAGGACGACCAGCCACACUGGGACUGUGACACGGCCCAGACUCCUACGGGAGGCAGCAGUGGGGAAUUUUGGACAAUGGGGGCAACCCUGAUCCAGCAAUGCCGCGUGAGUGAAGAAGGCCUUCGGGUUGUAAAGCUCUUUUGUCAGGGAAGAAACACCGGCUCUAACACAGUCCGGGAAUGACGGUACCUGAAGAAUAAGCACCGGCUAACUACGUGCCAGCCGCCGCAGUAA